rnacentral:misc_RNA from 1 species
GGUCGCAGCAAGUAGCACGGCCCCUUUCUGUGUGCCUUACUCCUCUUCUACAUAGUCGUGAGCACGCGCAAAAGGCCUCCACAUACGGGUGUGCGCGCACGCACGUACGCAUGCACGCGCAAGUUGAUCCGUGUCACCCCCCUCCCCCCUGUUGUCCUUCUUCACCUCUCCGCCCCAUUUGACCUCGUACACACGCCUGCGUAAUGUGUCUCCCGGCAGUCGUAGCCGACACAUACCCAUACGCCUAUUUCUUGUCUUUUUUUUUCGGUGUACGCGCAUCGAGUCAAUCGACCACGGACCAGUCAACAAGGAUACGCAUACGCAUCUGAGGGGUAACGGGAGAGAACACUGUGAGGAGCCUGUCGGCUUUGUUGUUGCCCUUCUCCCCCUUCACACCUCUGAUCCCUUGACUGGCAGCGAGACUUCUCUCAGAAGUCUGCCGCGUUACGACCUCCAAGGCGUAGGCGAGAGAGAGAAAGCAUACAGCCCAACAGCAGGCACGCUGUCUAGUGUAUGCCGGCCGUCGACACGGCUGCCCUCUGCUGCGGUUGAUGUCCCUUCGGUCUGCAAUGCACGCGAGUGAUGUGGACGACGCAGGACGGGCGCUACAAAGCACACAACGCUCGAUUGUCUCGAUCAGUCGCCUGACGAAUGAAAUGAGCGAAGUGCGCGCCAUGUCGGAGGGCUCGUUCGGUGUGGUGAAGUGUUACCGCCACGACUUCGACAAGCUCGAAUACGCUGUCAAGCAGACAAAGCGCCCCAUUUGCGGUGAGUCGAAUCUGCAGCAGCAGCUGCAAGAGAUCUACGCGCUGAGCUCCUUUCCACACCGCCACAUUGUCCGCUAUUUUGAUGGGUGGGUCGAGGACCGCGCCGUCUUUGUGCGACUGGAGAAGCUGGAUGACUGCAUGGCAUCGUUGCCGCCUCCGGUGAGUGAGAGUGUGCUCACAGCGAUGCUCCAUCAAACAUCUACAGCUCUCUACGAGUUGCAUUCCCACGACGUUGUGCACAUGGAUGUGAAACCGGAGAACAUAUUGAGACGUCAGCUCGACGCUGACACGUUCAUAUUCAAGCUGUGCGAUUUUGGUCUGGCGCGUCCCCUCAACGGCAAGGACUCGGUGACAGGGGAACAUUUUCUCGGACUCAACGAUGACGAUGGUGAUCGGCGGUACAUGAGCCCAGAGCUCCUGAAAAACCUGCACGACGUCGUUGGACCACCUGCUGACAUGUACGCCCUCGGAAAAAGCUGCGAGGCGAUGAUGACCGCCACGGAGGACCCCUCGAAUACCAGUGCUAGGCAUCUCGAGAGCUACUCACCGGCAUUCAUUGCGCUGAUCGAGUCGAUGCUGUGCGAAGAUCCUGCUCGCCGCCCCAGCGCCUUUCAGGUUGUACAAGCGACGCUGCCAGAGAGACUCCUUAGCGACGGAGGACUGCUAGAGCUGCAGCGCCGCAUUGACGCAAUUCGCUGCGAAAUUUCUGACCUGGACGCAUCUGACAAUGACGUCAUGUCGUCUCCACGCACUUGAGGACUCCCGCUUGGGAAACUGCAGCAAAGAAAAAAGCGGUGAAAGACAGGUGAGUUCUUGCGCCUCGCGCCCUGCGAAUUCCAGUCAGCGGCUAUAGCCUUUGCUCCGAAUCACUGACUCCCUCUCCAUAUCAUGGCCAUUGCGGUGAAGCCUCUGUGCCUGCUUUGUGCGUCCUUUUGUUUCGUGACGUGCGCUCGAACGACAUCACCCUUUUCUGCUUUUGUGCGUUCUCCUCGUUGCCACUGUUCUUAUCUCUUCCGCUUCCUCACUACAAUGAUUGUGUACGGCCGCCUCACCGUGACGUCAGGGCCUCAUACCCCCCCCCCCCAACACACACUGUGUGUGGGAGCGGCCAAGAGCCUGCGGCCUGCCCUGGUAUACGGCCGUGGACUCUUGGUGUCCGCGGAGAGGUCUGGGCUUGCUCUGGGCCGAAGAGACGUGCAUCCAUGACCACAUCUAUGCCAGCGCACUGCAAAUCGUGUCGACGCUUGAAGAAAUGUGCGCUUCCAACCACUGUUGUUGUGUUGCUGCUGUGUUGGGGUGGCUAUGACGGCCUUGGCCACCGGUCUCAGACGCCAGCGCGGCAUUGCCCGAAGCUGCGCUUACGGGACGAUAGGAGGCGAUGCUCGCGCAGCCGCGCACGCGCCCCUGACCGUGCUUUUGAUUGCUGCAGCGGCGGGUGGGUGGCGGCGGCAGCAUGGAGUGCCGAGGGCGUGCCGCCUUCUAGCGCGCCAGCGCUGUGCUGCCCAAACCGCCGCCAGAGCCUCGACUCUCCCGCCUGCGCUGUGCCGUGAGGGCAUCCGGCCCGGCGUUGCGCGCGGUAUGCUACGCGGGGUUUGCGGAUCGUUCGAGGCACACCUCGGUUCAGGCAGCGAUUGCGCACGCAAUGUUGCUGUUGCGCACAUGCCACGCGCGCUGCCUGGGCUUUCCCCGGCGAGCGCCCGCCGCUUCCCUCCCCCUGUGCUCAGUCAGGAGGACGCGCUAUGCGCUCUUGGUGCGCAGGCACGCGUGCAUCCGCGGCGCCCCUCCGCCUGGGCCCACCCACGCCUGUGAAGGGCGUGCGGGCGCAGGAGGGGGUGGGGGCCCCCCCUCCCCUUGCUGCCACAGACUCGUGGCAGUGCCCCACCUGCCGCGGCGCAUGCGGGCAGGCCGUCCACACACGGCCCCCUCCCUGCGGCAUCGACGGAAAUGGAAGAUGGAGAACAGGAAACCCCCGACGGACAGCAGCGUCCCCGUGAAGCAGGCCGCAGUGUCCAGAGGUGCGAGGGCUGUGUGCACAGCUAGCAUGGUGGAUCACACCCAGGCAAGGCAUGCAGAGGUCAGCAGAGCAGGAGUGAUGGAUCGAAGAGGCGCGAAGAGAUGCAAACCAAACAACGCCCAAGCGCAUGUGCUGCGCAAGCAGGCGGCACCCCCUACCCCCGGCCGGCUGGGCGGAUGAGCUACAGGCGCCGGAGGCAUGACGGGAAGACCCUGAGCCACACCAUGGAACCCCCCCUCCCAGGCUGCGAUGCGGAGAGUCGCCACGCCAUGCUAUCGAAUGCAGCGGCUUGAAGCGGCUGAGGGAGCAGCACGGCAUGCAGGCGGGGCACGGGAGCGCAGCGGGCCCCGAGAUGCGGCUGGCCAGCGUUCCCCUUGAGUACAUCCGGCAUGCACCUAGACCACUCCCUGCUACCCCGCACGUCAGACACCACCGCCUCCGCCGGGCGCCGACCGCGCAGCGCGUAGCCGAAGGAGGAAAGGGGGACGCAAGAGGACAUGCAGAGCCGGCUGGGCGCGCGGCCCGAUUCAUGGGCGGUGUGGCUCGUCCUAGACGAACCGGGAUGUGGGCGUAGUGCAACAGAGGUAGGCGAACUGUGGUUGUGUGGUGCACGUGUGUUUAUCGAGUUGCCUCGGGUGGAGGGACAGGUUGGUGAAAGGGUGAGCAAGUGGGCGCUUUUCUGGUCACUCCUUAUGUAGUCUCCUGCGUUUCGGCACUGCUGUGUUUCUGCGUUCCUGUUUCACACCAACACAUUCUCGUUAACCGACGUGAACUGCCGCUUAGAGAAAGAGGGCUUGUGUGUGAUUCGAUGCUGCUCGCGGUCACGUCUUCGUCUUUGUCUGCACUGCUCUUUAUGGGGGCACUAGGAUACG